rnacentral:rRNA from 1 species
UACGUAGGGUGCAAGCGUUGUCCGGAUUUACUGGGCGUAAAGGGCGCGUAGGCGGCGCGGUAAGUCACUUGUGAAAUCUCUGAGCUUAACUCAGAACGGCCAAGUGAUACUGCAGUGCUAGAGUGCAGAAGGGGCAAUCGGAAUUCUUGGUGUAGCGGUGAAAUGCGUAGAUAUCAAAAGGAACACCUGAGGUGAAGACGGGUUGCUGGGCUGACACUGACGCUGAGGCGCGAAAGCCAGGGGAGCAAACGGG